GACGAACGCUGGCGGCGUGCUUAACACAUGCAAGUCGAACGGAAAGGCCCUGCUUUUGUGGGGUGCUCGAGUGGCGAACGGGUGAGUAACACGCGAGUAACCUGCCCUUGACUUUGGGAUAACUUCAGGAAACUGGGGCUAAUACCGGAUAGGAGCUCCUGCUGCAUGGUGGGGGUUGGAAAGUUUCGGCGGUUGGGGAUGGACUCGCGGCUUAUCAGCUUGUUGGUGGGGUAGUGGCUUACCAAGGCUUUGACGGGUAGCCGGCCUGAGAGGGUGACCGGCCACAUUGGGACUGAGAUACGGCCCAGACUCCUACGGGAGGCAGCAGUGGGGAAUAUUGCACAAUGGGCGGAAGCCUGAUGCAGCAACGCCGCGUGCGGGAUGACGGCCUUCGGGUUGUAAACCGCUUUCGCCUGUGACGAAGCGUGAGUGACGAUAAUGGGUAAAGAAGCACCGGCUAACUACGUGCCAGCAGCCGCGGUGAUACGUAGGGUGCGAGCGUUGUCCGGAUUUAUUGGGCGUAAAGGGCUCGUAGGUGGUUGAUCGCGUCGGAAGUGUAAUCUUGGGGCUUAACCCUGAGCGUGCUUUCGAUACGGGUUGACUUGAGGAAUUUAGGGGAGAAUGGAAUUCCUGGUGGAGCGGUGGAAUGCGCAGAUAUCAGGAGGAACACCAGUGGCGAAGGCGGUUCUCUGGGCCUUUCCUGACGCUGAGGAGCGAAAGCGUGGGGAGCGAACAGGCUUAGAUACCCUGGUAGUCCACGCUGUAAACGGUGGGUACUAGGUGUGGGGUCCAUUCCACGGGUUCCGUGCCGUAGCUAACGCUUUAAGUACCCCGCCUGGGGAGUACGGCCGCAAGGCUAAAACUCAAAGGAAUUGACGGGGCCCCGCACAAGCGGCGGAGCAUGCGGAUUAAUUCGAUGCAACGCGUAGAACCUUACCUGGGUUUGACAUGGAUCGGGAGUGCUCAGAGAUGGGUGUGCCUCUUUUGGGGUCGGUUCACAGGUGGUGCAUGGCUGUCGUCAGCUCGUGUCGUGAGAUGUUGGGUUAAGUCCCGCAACGAGCGCAACCCUUGUUCACUGUUGCCAGCACGUUAUGGUGGGGACUCAGUGGAGACCGCCGGGGUCAACUCGGAGGAAGGUGGGGAUGACGUCAAGUCAUCAUGCCCCUUAUGUCCAGGGCUUCACGCAUGCUACAAUGGCUGGUACAGAGAGUGGCGAGCCUGUGAGGGUGAGCGAAUCUCGGAAAGCCGGUCUCAGUUCGGAUUGGGGUCUGUAACUCGACCUCAUGAAGUCGGAGUCGCUAGUAAUCGCAGAUCAGCAACGCUGCGGUGAAUACGUUCCCGGGGCU
rnacentral:rRNA from 1 species